rnacentral:miRNA from 1 species
ACUCGGCUUCGUCUCCAACGC